rnacentral:tRNA from 1 species
GGAUAUAGCUGAGUUGGCAAAGUGCUUGCCUCACAUGCACAUGGCCUUGAGUUCAAUCCCCAGCACCA